GCCGAAGUUAAGCAUCAUUGGGCGCGGUCAGUACUUGGGUGGGUGACCACCUGGGAACACUGCGUGCCGUU